GACGAACGCUGGCGGCGUGCCUAACACAUGCAAGUCGAGCGGAGGUACUUGAGGAGUAAUCUGAGGGUACUUUAGCGGCGGACGGGUGAGUAACGCGUGAGCAACCUGCCUUUCACAGGGGGAUAAGGCGGCGAAAGCCGCUCUAAUACCGCAUGAGACCACGGUAUGAUGUACCAGGGGUCAAAGGAGCAAUCCGGUGAAAGAUGGGCUCGCGUCCGAUUAGGUAGUUGGUGGGGUAAAGGCUCACCAAGCCAAUGAUCGGUAGCCGGCCUGAGAGGGUGAACGGCCACAUUGGAACUGAGAGACGGUCCAAACUCCUACGGGAGGCAGCAGUGGGGGAUCUUAGACAAUGGGGGAAACCCUGAUCUAGCCAUGCCGCGUGAUCGAUGAAGGCCUUAGGGUUGUAAAGAUCUUUCAGUGGGGAAGAUAAUGACUGUACCCACAGAAGAGGCCCCGGCUAACUCCGUGCCAGCCGCCGCCGUAAGAC
rnacentral:rRNA from 1 species